UACGAAGGGGACUAGCGUUGUUCGGAAUCACUGGGCGUAAAGCGCACGUAGGCGGAUCUUUAAGUCAGAGGUGAAAUCCCAAGGCUCAACCUUGGAACUGCCUUUGAUACUGGAGAUCUUGAGUCCGGGAGAGGUGAGUGGAACUGCGAGUGUAGAGGUGAAAUUCGUAGAUAUUCGCAAGACACCAGUGGCGAAGGCGGCUCACUGGCCCGGUACUGACGCUGAGGUGCGAAAGCGUGGGGAGCAAACAGG
rnacentral:rRNA from 1 species